rnacentral:rRNA from 1 species
AUGGCCCCUCCCCUUGCGCCCCGAACUGCCUCGCGCACUCGUCGCCCGUUAUACCACAGAGGAGGCGAAGACAGCGGCAGCGCGCCGCCUACUUCGCCGGUCGCCGCCUCGGCUGCACUCGGCGGGCGCCACGCCGUCUCCUCUCCAUGGGAGUGGCGGAUGGAAAUAUAUCAACGAUGGGGUGUGGUUCGUUCCUGUCAGGUUUUUUUUUUGACGCUGCUGCUCCUGGAGCACCAACUCAAAAUUUUCUCAUAUACUGGUGUUGCCCGAGCACGAGCACAAGGCGACAUUUUUGCUGGCCAUCUUGUUCAACACCUGCUGGGGAGGGGGAGGAGGCCGGCAACAGGAGAAGGCGCAUGCCAGCGAGGAGGGCGAGCAAAAGGGUGCAGUGGAGGACGAUCAGGGGGAGACGUGAGCGCUCAGGCCUAG